rnacentral:rRNA from 1 species
AGAGUUUGAUCAUGGCUCAGGAUAAACGCUGGCGGCGUGCCUAACACAUGCAAGUCGAACGCCCUUUCGCUUCGGUGAGAGGGAGUGGCGGACGGGUGAGUAACACGUGGGUGACCUACCCUGCGGUGAGGAAUACCGGCGAGAAAUCGUCGACAAGACCGCAUGCGCUUCCCGCACACGCGAGAAGCAAAGCCCCGCUUUCGGGCGGGGCGCCACAGGAUGGGCCUGCGGCCGAUUAGCUAGUUGGUGAGGUAAUGGCCCACCAAGGCCACGAUCGGUAGCUGGUCUGAGAGGAUGAUCAGCCACACUGGGAUUGAGAACGGCCCAGACUCCUACGGGAGGCAGCAGUGAGGAAUUUUCGGCAAUGGGCGCAAGCCUGACCGAGCAACGCCGCGUGCAGGAGGAAGGUCUUCGGAUCGUAAACUGCUUUUCUCGGGGACGAGUACGGACGGUACCCGAGGAAGAAGCCCCGGCUGACUACGUGCCAGCAGCCGCGGUAAUACGUAGGGGGCGAGCGUUGUCCGGAGUUACUGGGCGUAAAGCGCCCGCAGGCGGUCGGUCGCGUUUGAGGUCACAGCUCCUGGCUUAACUGGGAGAGCGUCUCAAAGACGGGCUGACUUGAGGACCAGAGAGGGACACGGAAUUCCGGGUGGAGUGGUGAAAUGCGUAGAUAUCCGGAGGAACACCGAAGGCGAAGGCAGUGUCCUGGCUGGUCCCUGACGCUGAGGGGCGAAAGCUAGGGGAGCGAACGGGAUUAGAUACCCUAGUAGUCC